rnacentral:sRNA from 1 species
GGUUGCCUUAUACGAACUCCUACGCUCGUGUACCACUUCACCGUCUACUCCACCAGAAUCUACUACUUCAGAUGAGUUACGUAAACGGUUAGUUGAUUGACAUCAUGUCAAACAUCGCAUUGGAUUUGAACCGGAUAUUGCAGGGUACGAAUGGAAGAUAUCGAGAUGCUCUGCAAGUUGACUGCCGACUUUUAUGGAAUACAGACCAUUUUUGUCGAUGGGCAAGGUGAGGGACUUUUUGUAGGCAAAUUGGUUUAUAGUUUGUAGUUUGUAGUCAAGAGUAUGAAGCUUGUAGUUGCACUGGUCUUUGUUUUUUUUGGACAUAUUUUAUUCACCCCAUAAAAUUUGAUGAUCUCCAUCUCUAAAAAUUAUUCAAAUUGCGUCCACGGCGCCAUCCUGCCAUAUGACAGAUGUUUUUUUUUUUCAUCAAUUCUUCAAGCGGUAUAGGUUCAGAGGUGUCACACGCGUGUCCUCAUCAUCAUUUUACCCCCUACCAAUUUCCCUUUCAUUCUGAUAAAAUGGGUAAAACGAUGAGACCAAUUUGAAUGCGAUCCAUUUGAAUAAGAUGCGCGUGCUGCGAACAAAAAAAAACAUAGAAGGUUUGAAGAUGGGGGAACAAAUUUACAUUUUUAUGACGUGCCAAAUUGCAUGGGGAAAUUGACUAUUUUGAACUGAAAGCGGGCAGUUACUGGGUGGAUUUAGAUUUGGAAAAAUUGCGGGAUUUUGAAAUUAUUCUGCUUUUAGGGAGCUCUUAAACAGCAUGAAAAGUAUUCCUAAAUUUGAAAUUACGAGAUUAAGUUACUAAAGUUACACAGUUUUGAGCACAUUUACAUACUUGGUAUCAAAAAGUUUCAGCCUAAAAGUCACUAUUUUCCAGACCGCGAGUUCCUGGCAAUGGAAGAUGUGACAAUUGGCUAUCAGAGACCGGCGAUACUGGAUCUAAAAAUGGGACAAGUGACCUAUGAUCCAAUUGCAAAACCAGAGAAAAUUGAAAAAGAACGAAUCAAGUAUCCGCCACAGGCCAAGAUGGGAAUGCGGAUUCUUGGAUAUAGG